rnacentral:rRNA from 1 species
UACGUAGGAGGCGAGCGUUGUCCGGAAUUACUGGGUGUAAAGCGCGUGUAGGCGGUGAGUUAAGUCUGUUGUGAAAGCGCCCGGCUCAACCGGGCAGAGUCAAUGGAAACUAGCGCACUGGAGGUCGGUAGAGGCGAGUGGAAUUCCCGGUGUAGUGGUGAAAUGCGUAGAGAUCCGGAGGAAUACCAGAGGCGAAGGCGGCACCCUGGGUCUGACCUGACGCUGAUCCGCGACAGCAUGGGGAGCGAACGGG